UACGUAGGGUGCAAGCGUUGUCCGGAAUUAUUGGGCGUAAAGAGCUCGUAGGCGGUCUGUCGCGUCUGCUGUGAAAACUCAGGGCUUAACCCUGAGCUUGCAGUGGGUACGGGCAGACUAGAGUGCGGUAGGGGAGACUGGAAUUCCUGGUGUAGCGGUGAAAUGCGCAGAUAUCAGGAGGAACACCGGUGGCGAAGGCGGGUCUCUGG
rnacentral:rRNA from 1 species